rnacentral:rRNA from 1 species
GGAAACGAGGUGCUAAUACCGGAUAAGAAAGCAGAUCGCAUGAUCAGCUUUUAAAGGCGGCGUAAAGCUGUCGCUAUGGGGGAUGGGCCCCGCGGUGCAUUAGCUAGUUGGCAAGGUAAAGGCUUACCAAGGCGAUGAUGCAUAGCCCGAGUUGAGAGACUGAUCGGGCCACAUUGGGGACUGAGACACGGGCCCAAACUCCUACGGGAGGCAGCAGUAGGGAAUCUUCCACAAUGGACGCAAGUCUGAUGGAGCAAACGCCGCGUGAGUGAAGAAGGUUUUCGGAUCGUAAAAAGCUCUGUUGUUGGUGAAGAAGGAUAGAGGUAGUAACUGGCCCUUUAUUUGACGGUAAUCAACCCAGAAAGUCACGGGCUAACUACGUGCCCAGCAGCCGCGGUAAAU